GUUGGUGGAGCGAUUUGUCUGGUUAAUUCCGAUAACGAACGAGACUCUGGCAUGCUAACUAGUUACGCGACCCCCGAGCGGUCGGCGUCCCCCAACUUCUUAGAGGGACAAGUGGCGUUCAGCCACCCGAGAUUGAGCAAUAACAGGUCUGUGAUGCCCUUAGAUGUCCGGGGCUGCACGCGCGCUACACUGACUGGCUCAGCGUGUGCCUACCCUACGCCGGCAGGCGCGGGUAACCCGUUGAACCCCAUUCGUGAUGGGGAUCGGGGAUUGCAAUUAUUCCCCAUGAACGAGGAAUUCCCAGUAAGUGCGGGUCAUAAGCUUGCGUUGAUUAAGUCCCUGCCCUUUGUACACACCGCCCGUCGCUACUACCGAUUGGAUGGUUUAGUGAGGCCCUCGGAUCG
rnacentral:rRNA from 1 species